ACAAUCCCCUCAAACAAAGCUCAGUUUUCACUUAGUUCAAUCGACAUCCACAGCCUGCUUCACAUUUCAAUGGUGAUUUUAACUUCACACUUCAAUCCUGCUUAUCAGAGUGCGCAUGAAGAUGAUGGAGUUCCCUUUGGGUUUGCAGAGUCGAAGGCAUUGAUCAAAGACGAGGUUGCUGAUGGUGGCUAUAAUUAUGCCCUAGCUGAAGCGCUGGAAGGCGAUGGAGACGAUGACGAUGAUGGAGACUACGACUAUGCUCCUGCCGCUUGAGGGAUGCCAAAACCCUAGUUCUUGAAUACCCUAAUAUUAACCCUAGCUAUUCUUAGAUAUAUAGUCAUCUUAGUCCUAGAAUUAAUUAGACUAAUAUUUGAGAGAUUACUAUAGCACUCCUUGUCAUGAGUAUUUUUAAUUAUAUAUUAAUCAAGAACUAGACUAGUCUGGUUAUGGAUUCGAGUUUCUACUGCCCUCAUGAUGGAGAUUAUAAACCUUCAUUGCUCACUUGUCCAUGACCCAAAAGAAACAAUUCAAAUUGCAUCAGCAAAAAAUCUCAGUACGCCUAUGAUAAUCAUGAAUUUGUUGCUACUAGCUAAAGCAGCUUAUUCCAUUAAAGAAUCACCUUUUAGUUCCAUGAUUGACAAGAGUCAAUUUUUUAUAUUUAAAAUUCAAAGCAUAUAUGCCUCUGUCGGAUUAGAUAUUCUAUGAAGCAAUCUUCUUUGCAAUUAAUAUUUAAGGUGCUGAACUGAAAUGAUGACAUAUUUCAGAUGUGAUAGUCAGCUAUAUAUAUAUGUAUUCUUGAAGACCAGCUUGUGAUGUUCACUCUCUACUAGCAUAGCAUGGCUCCAACCUCACCAAAUUCAUCUGGAACCUUGAAUUUUGGCUCUAACUUCACCUCACCAGGCUUUCACAUGGAUAUUUCUCUGAAGACAAUAAGGAUUUGUUAUCAAGAUCAGCUAGCUAUUGCCCCAGUUUUGGAUAUAUCCAUACUGUUUAUAAUCUUCAAGUAUACUUUAUGGACGAGGGUGUGUUUACUGUCAAAUGUCCUUCCCAUGAGUGAUAAUUUAGUUCUGAUAACCUUUGAUUCUAAAGAGCUUAAUUUAUAACAGAUUUCUCGAUUCAACCCUUCGUAAUCACUUGAAAUUGGAUCAAAUUCUUUGGAGUUCCCCAGUAGAUUUUUUUUUUCUGAUGGAUUGGGAAUUGAAUUGGUAAAUUCAUCUAUGUUGAUGAAAAUACACAAAUGAAGACAAGAAUUGAUUCAGGAAGAUUUUUUAUUCGAUCACAUUCUUUGUCUCUGACAAUCGAUGUCAUUACAAUUGAUGUAGAUAAGGUUUUAUGUUGUGCUGGUCGAAGAUUUUGUUCCAUAUCACUUAUUUAGUCAAGUGUUUUGUUUCAAAUAUUAAUAUUAUAUAUCAAACUAAC
rnacentral:lncRNA from 1 species